rnacentral:lncRNA from 1 species
AUUUCAGUUGCCAAUACUAAUGUGUUUUAUUAAUCUCUCCUUGAAGAAGGGGUCCUUCAUUUUCACUUUGCACCUGACUCAGCAAAUAAUGUAGCUGACCCUCAUACCUUACGACAUAUCUUAUUAAACUGGCUGCAUACUUCAGAAUGAAAUUACUAGGUCAUCAGGCUACCCAGGGCUUCGCUGCUAUCCUUGCUUUCCUGAAGGGCUGCAGCGUCCUCAUCGGUCUCUACCAUCCACUCUAAUUCCUUGCAAUUUUUGUCCACACUUUAACCAGAAUGAAUUUGUCAAAACAGAACAACAACAACAAAAAUGUUAUCCUGUUGUCAGUGAUAUCCUACUGAUCUUAAAAUAGAGCAAAAUUCUUCACAUGGCCUCCCAUACUCCAGUUCUGGCCUUGUUCCCUGCUCCUCACCCCUCCGUUGUUGCACUGCUGCAAUCACUCUGGCCCAGCGACUUUCUCUCCCUCCCUGCUCAGACCUCCCCCACCGUCUGAGGAACACUUUCCAUCUCUGCCGCUUCUCAUCACAUUAACUCUCAUUCACAUGUCUGGUAUUUUUGCCAUAAGCAUCUUUGCCAGAGACAUCUUUGCCGCAAACAUUUCUGCCACAGACAUAACUAACUGCCUGUAAAGCAAUUUUUCCAUAAAAGAUAAAAUAACAAAAAAAUAAAAUAAUAGAGGGACAUUCAAAAGGACAUAAUGAAACACCCAGUACAUAUCUGGACUACAUUUAGACAUUUCAUUGUAUGCCCAGUCCUUAGGUUUCACCAAAUCAUCUAAGCCAGAUUCUGUGCCAAGUACCAAAGUUCUGUCCAU